CAGGCCUAACACAUGCAAGUCGAGCGGUAACACAGGGAGCUUGCUCCUGGGUGACGAGCGGCGGACGGGUGAGUAAUGUCUGGGAAACUGCCUGAUGGAGGGGGAUAACUACUGGAAACGGUAGCUAAUACCGCAUAACGUCGCAAGACCAAAGAGGGGGACCUUCGGGCCUCUUGCCAUCGGAUGUGCCCAGAUGGGAUUAGCUAGUAGGUGGGGUAACGGCUCACCUAGGCGACGAUCCCUAGCUGGUCUGAGAGGAUGACCAGCCACACUGGAACUGAGACACGGUCCAGACUCCUACGGGAGGCAGCAGUGGGGAAUAUUGCACAAUGGGCGCAAGCCUGAUGCAGCCAUGCCGCGUGUAUGAAGAAGGCCUUCGGGUUGUAAAGUACUUUCAGCGGGGAGGAAGGCGAUAAGGUUAAUAACCUUGUCGAUUGACGUUACCCGCAGAAGAAGCACCGGCUAACUCCGUGCCAGCAGCCGCGGUAAU
rnacentral:rRNA from 1 species